rnacentral:lncRNA from 1 species
GCUCUUUCAGGGACGCUGUAAGAAUAACAGCCAAGACUCCCUCCUCUGAAAGUAGUGAAUAAGAAUCUGAAACCAAGAGGAUGUCAAAUCACUUCUCUCAUUCAGGACCUGGAAGGGAGUCCAUCCAGGGAGAACUGUUAUGAGGAUGGAGACCUAGAGCUGAAUCAGGUACACACCUAAUGGUAUGAGUGGCAGUUUCAAAUCCAUUCUACACUCUGCUGCAGCUGACAAUAGGCAGCAUCAGCAGCUGAAAGAUGAGAGUUUGGGUGAAGAUAUGGUCUUUCUGCUUGGUGGGUUUAGAGAAAGGAACUGGACCUUCCCAGACCAGCAUCUUGUUUUUGGAAUCCAGCUGUCUGCAGGAAGCACACACCCUGCUCUGUCCUUUGUGACUAGAUUCAGAGCCAGGGUUGAGUCCUCCUCACAGGGCGAGUUCUCUGACAAGGAAGUUUUGCAACCUAAUUUACAGCUGGAGCCAAGCUUGUCAGUGAGUGCCAGAGGGAAACUGUCGCAAUCGGCAGGCAAAGUAUAUUCAUUUAACAAGGGGAGUCUCUGAGGAGCUAUCAAAAACUGCUUGCCAUCUUUCCAAAUCAUCUCUGUCUGCAGUGACCAUGUCUUAAUCCUGAAGGAAAACAAGGUGGAAAUUGAUUUUUACUUCUCUGCAGCUAAGUAUGUGGCAGUCUUGGCCACAUGGUGACUCAGCAGAGGAGCCUAUGUACUGGCUGUCCUGAUGCUCUUCCUGAUUCAACUGAUUCUCUACACUUGAUCUUAGCCAAAAGGCCGAGAAGCAAUGAUUCAACUGAUUCUCAAAAGGACACCGCUGCAGGAAUAAACCCACUUCUAAAUAUGGUACACUUGGAAAGUUGUCCAGCUCGCAAUGUCAGAGUCACAGACUUCAUGCACACUCAUCUCAAGUCAAUGUUAUCUAACACAUUUCCACUAAUUAUUGGAUGACACUAGCAAGAAACUCUGAUAUUUUUCACCUAACCUUUGCUAAUUUAAAUGUGGCCAGCCCACCCUCAUACUGCAUUGUGAUGGGGAUAUAAAAGCCAAUGAAAGAUAUCAUUAAUUGUUAACAAUAGUCAUCACUGACAACUUCCUGUUGAAUGUCACUGUUACUCCUGCUACUGCUACUACCACUACCAUUUAUGAAGCUGCCAUUAUUACUAACUCAAAGCUUUCACAGAUACAGAAACAGGUGUAUUUUUUGUUUUGUUUUGUUUUUUGUUUUUGUUUGAGAGAGAGUCUUACUCUGUCGGCCAGGCUGGAGUGCAGUGGCACAAUCUCGGUUCACUGCAACGUCCGCCUCCCGGGUUCAAGCAAUUCUUGUGCCUCAGCCUCCCGAGUAGCUGGGAUUACAGGCAUGUGCCACCAUGCCUGGCUAAUUUUUGUAUUUUUAGUAGAGACGGGGUUUUACCAUGUUGGCCAGGCUGGUCUCAAACUCCUGACUUCAGGUAAUCCACCUGCCUAGGCCUCCCAAAGUGCUGGGAUUACAGGCAUGAGCCACCGUGCCUGGCCAGAAACAGGUGUAUCUUUAAAGCAUAACUUCCUCUCUGCAUCUUGCUUCCCCUCUUUCUGUCCCUUCUCCUCUCCCACCCCCACAGUUUUGGCUUCACUUUGCUCAGGCUGUGACAACUGUCUUUAAGGGAGCUAACUUUUAUCUGACUGUAAAGCCAAGCAAACUAAUCUUGCAAAACUGUUCUGCCACAUAGGUUGGUCUCUUCCUGUUUGGAAUUCAUCUAUAUAUUAGCAACUUGGAAAGCCUUUGAGCUGAGCUAGUGCGCAAAGCUGCACCUUAGACUGUGGUUUACAGUGCUGCUUAAUUGUCACAACGGUGUCACUCACCUUGUCCUCACCUAACCUGCAAGGUAGACAUUUAGGCUGCUUUCUUCAUCAGUGUAAGGUGAAAUAGCAGAUUGGUGUGUAAAAAGUGUGGCUUGGAGUGUGGUGGUAUGAACUGUGGGAUUAUUUACUAUAGGGUCUCAUUGCAAAUCCUUUAGAACACUUGCCUCUUACACCUUUUGUCUGUCUGCUCUUAAAUAUUUUCUGUCCUUCCAGCAUGCUAUCUCUACCUAACAGAAGGGGUCAUAUCUGUCUCAACUAAAAGUCAUUCCAUUUGGGUCAUUCGUCUGGAGGCUGAGACAGUGGAAGAGUCAAACUUGCCCUGAGCUUCACUCAGCCAGUACCUGUCUCCUCUGCCCACUGUCCAGCAACUUACCCUGACCCAUCCUUUAAGGAACUUGCCAAGAGAGAGCAGAAUACUCUUUCUUUCUCUCUCUCUCUCUCUUUUUUUGUCUUUCAUUUAUUCUUUGGAUAUAAACUGCAGACCUACUGGUUGUAAAGCACUGAGUUUCACAGUGAGGGCAACAAAAGAAUAGAACACCUGGUUCCUAUUCUGAGAGGGUCACCUCUGUUCACACAACUUCUGCCCAUCUGACUCAAUCUACUAGGUAAGCGGCAGAGGGGCUUCCUUCCCCCCAAAACCUCUACUGAAUUAUAAAAGAUGGGGAAAUUGGAAUUUAGCAUUUUCAAAACCCCACCUCUUCUUGCAGAUUUACUUUCUUUCACUUUCCCAAGCAGACUUCAUGUGGCAACCAAACUAUACUGUCAAGUACCCUCUGAACCCGCCUGCCCUUCCUGCCUGCAUGCGUCAUGGAAGAGCUGCCUUUGCCCCAGGACACUGCUCUGGCCCCAUUACCAUCACCAUCACCAAGGAAAAUACAUCCCUUAUAUUUCAAAGCCCUAGUUCAAGCAUGUCUUCCUUUCAGGCAGAUAAAAUUAUUUUAUGCUUAAAGAUGCAGAAAAAAUGACACACACACACACACACACACACACACUCAUAAAACAACUUUAGAGUCUAUAAGAUCUCAUUCUGCACUUGGGUGCUUACUAAAAAUAUCUCACUGGAAGAAUAACUAGCCUUAGUUUCCACAUCUGCAAAAUGGAGAUAACAAUACUAUAAAAUGAUUAUGGCUUUUUGAUGAUGUAGUUUGCAUAAAUGGCCUAGCCAAGUACCCGGCACCCGUAGGUACUCUACAAAUGCUAGUCAGCAUCCCUUCUUGGAAAUCUCCACGAUUAAAUGAUAUCUUAUGCAGCUGUUUGCAGCUUAUCUCCUGUUAGACUCCAAGCUGCUUAAGAAUAGUGACUAUGGGCUUAUUCACAUGGGGUUCCCUGCAGCCUUGCUUAGUGCUUUGUACCUAACAGAUGCUAAGGCAUAUUGGAUACAACAGUUUAUUACUGUAAAAAUACAAAUGACCAUAGGUCUGGAAAGAGCCAGGCUCAGCAGGGUACAAAGCAGGCCUGGGGGUACAAAGCCCAGGCUCUUUAGAACCUUUGCCUUAGCUCAGCAAGGUUCUCAAGGGUGGAGUAAUUGCAGAGAGAAAAUGGCAGGCUCCAUGUGCAGGCUUAUGUGAUUUAGGGCCACAGACUGACCCUUCCUGGGGUCACCCACAAGAUGAAUCAGGAAAAGAGAGAACAGAGAUGGGGCCAGCUGCUCCCAGAUCCUUAGACAUUCUAAAUAAGGGGGAGAGACUCAGUCUUUUCUGAUUAAUCUUUGAUGAUUUAUUCUUUGGACAUCAUUUAAAAGGAGCAUUUUAAAGUAAAUUAAUUGAACUCUCAUGACCUUUUACCCUACUAAUAUCAUCAAAAGAAACUAGAUCUUGAAUUUUAAAAAGCGCUUGAUUUAUUUUCUGUGACUUACAAACUACUGAAGAACAUCAGUUUUUAUUUUUUGAAAUUAUGAAAACUCCAGCUUUUAAAGCAAGAAGUCAAAACAGCUCAGUUUUGAAACAUCCCAAUUUUAGCAAAUGAGUAUUGAGUGAAAGGUGUCAUAGACAUUGGUAAAAGAUAAAUAUGUAAUUUAAUACACAGAAAACUGGGUAAGUAUUGUCUUCAAAAAGCCAAUUCCCCUUCUACCACACUGACCCUGAUGGUAUUCUUGAGUCCAAAUGACUUGGGUAAAUUCUGAUUAGUAUAAACCAGUUUUUUUUUUUUUUAAUUAUUUUACUUUAAGCUCUGGGAUAUAUGUCCAGAACAUGCAGGUUUGGUACUUAGGUAUAUAUGUGCCAUGGUGGUUUGCCACACCUUAUCAACCUGUCAUUUAGGUUUUAAGUCCCACAUGCAUUAGGUAUUUGUCUUAACGCUCUCCCUCCCCUUGCUCCCAACCCCCUGACAGGUCCCAGUGUGUGAUGUUCCCCUCCCUGUGUCCAUGUGAUCUCAUUGUUCAACUCCCACUUAUGAGUGAGAACAUGUGGUGCUUGGUUUUGUGUUCCUGUGUUAGUUUGCUGAGAAUGAUGGUUUCCAGCUUCAUCCAUGUCCCUGCAAAGGACAUGAACUCAUUCUUUUUUAUGGCUGCAUAGUAUUCCAUGGUGUGUAUGUGCCACAUUUUCUUUACCCAGUCUAUCAUUGCUUGGCAUUUGGGUUGGUCCCAAGUUUUUGCUAUUGUAAAUAGUCCUGCAAUAAACAUACGUGUGCAUGUGUCUUUAUAGUAGAAUUUAUAAUCCUUUGGUAUAUACCCAAUAAUGGGAUUGCUGGGUCAAAUGGUAUUUCUAAACCAGUGUUUUUUUGUUUGUUUGUUUGUUUUGUUUUUUUUAAAGUGCAGGAAGCAGUUUAUUAAUUAAUUCUAAAAUCAAUUUAGUACUUUGAAUCAGAAUUUUUUAAAUUAAUUGAUAGUAUAAAGAAUAAAAUAGAAUGGAAAAUAUCUGGAGGUACUGCACAUAAGGAUUCCAAUUUCUAUUUUCAGAACUUUCAUUUGUAAUUUAUGUACGCAUCUAACGUGUAUUUACGUGUAUACUGAGUUAGGGUGUACAACUUUUCCCUGAGGCUGUAUCUCAAAAACUUUGGAAGCUGAAGAAUUUGUCCAAAUCUAUGUUCCUUUUUGUUUGUAAAUCACCUGAUGAUGGUGAUAUAGCUGUGGCCAACGAAAUGUCAAGGGAAGUCUGCUGGGGAAGGUAGACGUAGGAUAGGAGUAUGGGAAAAAAUUAUUCACUCAAAAGCAUGAUGCACAGAGGAGCUAUGAUCUUUUCUUGUUUUCCUCACUGGAUGUUGUCAUGUCUGUAUGUACUUCCUGGAACUGUGGCACCAUCUUACAACCAUGAAAGGAGCUCACAUGAAAUCAUGUUGAACAUAGCAGAGCGGGAAGAUGGAAGGAAUCCGAGAUCUAUGUUUGAUGUUAAGCGAUGAUGUUAAAAACUUAAAAAACUCCAGAACUCUCUUACCCCUGGGCUUGUUAUAAUAAAAAGAUAAUAAUCCUCUUAGUGUUUAAGG